AUACGGGAGGCAGCAGUGAGGAAUUUUCCGCAAUGGGCGAAAGCCUGACGGAGCAAUACCGCGUGGAGGAUGACGGCUUUCGGGUUGUAAACUCCUUUUAAAUGGGAAGAUUAUGACGGUACCAUUUGAAUAAGCAUCGGCUAACUACGUGCCAGCAGCCGCGGUAAUACGUAGGAUGCAAGCGUUAUCCGGAAUUACUGGGCGUAAAGCGUGUGUAGGUGGUUUGUUAAGUUGAAUGUUAAAUCUACGGGCUCAACUCGUGGGCUGCAUUCAAUACUGGCAGACUUGAAGAUGGAAGAGGUAAGCGGAAUUAGUGGUGGAGCGGUGAAAUGCGUAGAUAUCACUAAGAACACCAAUGGCGAAGGCAGCUUACUGGGCCAUUCUUGACACUGAGACACGAAAGCGUGGGGAGCGAACAGGAUUAGAUACCCGUGUAGUCCC
rnacentral:rRNA from 1 species